rnacentral:rRNA from 1 species
UUAGGAAUAUUCGUCAAUGGGGGAAACCCUGAACGAGCAAUGCCGCGUGAGUGAUGACGGUCCUCUGGAUUGUAAAACUCUGUUGUUUAGGAAAAAUUGUGUAAGUAGGAAAUGACUUAUGCUUGAUGGUACUAUUCAAGAAAGCCACGGCUAACUACGUGCCAGCAGCCGCGGUAAUACGUAGGUGGCGAGCGUUAUCCGGAUUUAUUGGGCGUAAAGCGUCCGCAGACGGUUUGUUAAGUUUGGAAUCAAAUCCCGAAGCUCAACUUCGGUUCGUUCCAAAAACUGGCAGACUUGAGUGUAGUAGAGGCAAGUGGAAUUUCUAGUGUAGCGGUAGAAUGCGUAGAUAUUAGAAGGAACACCAGUGGCGAAGGCGACUUGCUGGGCUAUUACUGACGUUCAUGGACGAAAGCGUGGGGAGCAAAUAGG